rnacentral:lncRNA from 13 species
GUUAGUUAUGAGCCAUCUAUGUGACAGUGGUUCCAUAUGAUUAUAGUACUAUAUUUUAACUGUACCUUUUGUGUGCUUAGCUGUUUUUAGAUACACAAAUAUUUACAAUUAUGUAACAGCUGCCUACAGUAUUCAGUACAAUGACAUGCUGUACAGGUUUUUACACUAGGAACAAUACUGAUUUUAAUUACAUAGUGAUUUAAUUAUAAUGAUUUAAUUAUGUUGGUAUUACAACUUCUGUGGCAUAUAAAAGUGUAUUCAGUUUUUAAGAAACUGUCAAACUAUUUUCCAAAAUUUCUGUAACAUUUCAUAUCUCUUUACCAAAUGUAUGAGAUAUGUAGUUUCUCCAAAGCCACCAUGACAUUUGGUAAUGUCACUGUAUUUUACGUUAGCUCUUCUUAUGUAUGUUAAUGACACCUAAUCAUGAUCUUAAUUUGCAUUUUUCUAGUGACUAAUCAUGUUGAACCAUUUUCUUCUUUAAUCCUUUUAUAAAUGAACUUUUACAUUUUAAAAUAGUUUCAGAUUUACCAAAAAAGUUGUGAUGAUAGUAUAGAGAUAUUCUAUAUAGCUACAUUCAGUUUCCUCAAUUUUAAAGUAAUACCUUACAUUAGUAUGGUACAUUUGUUACAAUUAAUGAACUAAUAUUGAUGCAUAGUAACUAAAGUGAACAUUUACUUAGAUUUUUUGUUUUCCCUAAUGUCUUUUUUCUCUUGCAGGAGUCCAUCAAGGAUCCUUCAUCACACUUAAUCAUCACAUCUCCUUAGGAUCCACUCGGCCGUGCUAGCGUCCCAUAUUUUGUUUUUGAUGACCUUCACACUUUUGAGUACUGGUGACGUAUUUCACAGAAUCACCCUUAACGGUCUCACAGUUACACGAAGGCUGUUGGGUUUUAGCAGAAAGACAUAAAGUACAGAGCUAAUGUGCCACUCUCAUCACAUUACAUCAAGCGAUACACACUAUCAACAUGACAUUACUGCUGAUGUGAACCUUGAUUCCUCGGCUGAUGUAGUGUUUGCCAGGUUUCUCUACUGUCAAGUUACUCUUUUCUCCACUUUCCAUAUUGUACUUUCUGAAAGUUGUUGAAGAGGAUUUUAUCAAGCUUCUUUUUUGAAAAAUCACCUGCAUUGGCAAUAGUUCACCAGUCCAAAUGCAAACUUAUCCCUUGAUCUGGUCUAUGGCUUGAAAACAUAAUCUUCAAAUAUUACUGAGCUUCUAAAGAGCAAGAUAACAGAAAAAUAGACUACCAUCAGAAAAUACAUUUUGAGAAAAACAUUAUUUGCUAGUAUUUUAAAAUGAAAUGUCAUGAAUGUUAAAUUCUAACUUUCAAAGAUUACUGAUUUAUCAUUGAAGAAAAGAAGAAACCUUCUAUAAAACUCCUGGUAAAUUUGUUAUUUGCAUGUUAGCAAAACAAAUGUAAAUAUAAACUAUCUGAUAAAAAUAUCAAAAGCAUGCUUUCUUCUCUUGAUUAAAAUGAAUAAAUCUACACACAGAAGAUGAUUCCUCGUACUG